UACGGGGGGGGCAAGCGUUGUUCGGAAUUACUGGGCGUAAAGGGCUCGUAGGCGGCCAACUAAGUCAGACGUGAAAUCCCUCAGCUUAACUGGGGAACUGCGUCUGAUACUGGAUGGCUUGGAUUCGGGAGAGGAAUGCGGAAUUCCAGGUGUAGCGGUGAAAUGCGUAGAUAUCAGGAGGAACACCUGUGGUGUAGACAGCUUACUGGACCACUUCUGACGCUGAGACGCGAAAGCGUGGGGAGCGAACAGG
rnacentral:rRNA from 1 species